rnacentral:rRNA from 1 species
AUUGAACGCUGGCGGCAGGCUUAACACAUGCAAGUCGAGCGGAGUGAUGGUGCUUGCACUAUCACUUAGCGGCGGACGGGUGAGUAAUGCUUAGGAGUCUGCCUAUUAGUGGGGGACAACAGCUCGAAAGGGAUGCUAAUACCGCAUACGUCCUACGGGAGAAAGCAGGGGAUCACUUGUGACCUUGCGCUAAUAGAUGAGCCUAAGUCGGAUUAGCUAGUUGGUGGGGUAAGGCCUACCAAGGCGACGAUCUGUAGCGGGUCUGAGAGGAUGGUCGGCCACACUGGGACUGAGACGCGGCCAAGACUCCUACGGGAGGCAGCAGUGGGGAAUAUUGGACAAUGGGGGGAACCCUGAUCCAGCCAUGCCGCGUGUGUGAAGAAGGCCUUAUGGUUGUAAAGCACUUUAAGCGAGGAGGAGGCUCUUUUGGUUAAUACCCAAGAUGAGUGGACGUUACUCGCAGAAUAAGCACCGGCUAACUCUGUGCCAGCAGCCGCCGUAA